rnacentral:lncRNA from 10 species
GGUGCCUUGGAUACAACAGAAAUUUCAACCAGAGGUUUUCUGUAAAGAAAACGAAAAGGACACCAUGUGUGUUGUGAUCUUUGUGUCAGAAGACCCAUGGAGCAUGCUUCCUACAGUGUGCUGAUGCUGAACAGCCAGUAUGAUUUGGUUUCUGCUUCUCAUGCAUCGAGACAGGAAGAGUUGGUCCUGUGAAGAAACCUGUGACAAAACCACAGUCAACAUGAAUUCCAAGUGGUAACACUUAGUGUCCUGGGAUGGAGUGCUGAGAGAAAUCCGGAGGAUUCAGAGAAGAUGACCAAAAAGGACUACUUCACAGGGCUCCCAUGUGCUCAGCUUGCAAUUGGAUUCAGCCACCAGAGAUCCCUGGCAAGAGAAUAAAGGUGGGUAGGAAAGCAAGGAUGAGCUAUUUGUGUAUCUAUCUUCCACCUGUAUGAUUCCUUUGGAUUGUCUAUGUCUUACUUACAAAGGUUCCUGCUGUCUUCAAAGUUGUCCCUCUCCACAGAGCUUUCUUGUCUCCAAUUAUGGACACCACUCUCUUACCUUAUCCUUUCAAGCUUCAGCUUAGUAAUAGUUAUUACUUACCCUGAGUUUACACAAUAACCUGUAUUUUACAAACAUUUUGCCCACA